AUGAGAAGCGUCAAAGGCUUUAUGAAGGAAACUCAAUCAGCUGAGGAACGGGUUAUCACCAUCUCUGCAACUUCCGUGCGUCUGCAACCUCCCUCCGUCGCGUCCUGUUUCCUCCCAGGAGGUAGACUCAGUUCUGGUCAACCUCGAUUCUUCCUCUUCAAAUACUGCAAGCAUCUUCAAGAGCCGAAUGCUAAAGAAGCUAGGUAUUGGAUAAGUAACUCAUGA